AAUAAUUGAUUUUGUAUAAAACAUCAGAGGUAAGAAAUGCACAAGUACACAACAGAUUAUUUUAUAUGGAGUAAAAUGUGUAUAUUUGCUUGAGUAUGCUCUUUAUUUUAAUGUCAGGACUAAUUGAGAAACAAAAGAGGAAACUAAAGGGUGUGUUUAUAGCAACUCGUGUUAACCACAUACUCUUUCUCUCACGCUCUUCUUUAGUUGUAGAUUGGUCUCUGGACGUGUGGGUAGAGAAGGCACAACGUUCUCCAGCAGUGUUUUCCCUCACAAUGAUUUCUACACUUUAUCUGGUCUUUCUGUUGAUGAUCUCAGGAGCUCUUGGGAAUGAAUGGAGUGUGACAUACAACCCAGAACAUCUCUGUGCUUUAAAUGAAUCUACAGUGUUUAUGAACGGCUCGUACACACACCCAGCAUAUUUUACAGUGAAAAAGGCAUUUUGGGUAAUAAACCCAGUUAAGGGUAAA